rnacentral:rRNA from 1 species
AUUGAACGCUGGCGGCAUGCUUUACACAUGCAAGUCGAACGGCAGCGCGGGCUUCGGCCUGGCGGCGAGUGGCGAACGGGUGAGUAAUACAUCGGAACGUGCCCAGUAGUGGGGGAUAGCUCGGCGAAAGCCGGAUUAAUACCGCAUACGACCUGAGGGUGAAAGCGGGGGAUCUUCGGACCUCGCGCUAUUGGAGCGGCCGAUGGCAGAUUAGCUAGUUGGUGGGGUAAAGGCCUACCAAGGCGACGAUCUGUAGCUGGUCUGAGAGGACGACCAGCCAUACGGGGACGGAGAGACGCCCCGGACCCCAGCGGGGGGCAGGAGUGGGAAAUUUUGGAGAAGGGGGGAAGGCUGAAUCCAGCAAUGCCGCGUGUGGGAGGAAGGCCUCGGGGUGGAAAAGGCCUUUUGGGGGGAAAAAAAAGGACUGUGGCAAAACCGCGUUUGGGAGGGGGAACCCGAAAAAAAGGCCCGGGCAAACUACG